CCUACGGGAGGCUGCAGUGAGGAAUAUUGGUCAAUGGCCGGAAGGCUGAACCAGCCAAGCCGCGUGAAUGACGAAGGUGCCAAGCAUUGUAAACUUCUUUUGUCAAGGGACAAAAUCAGGCUCGAGAGCCUGACCGAGGGUACUUGAAGAAAAAGCAUCGUCUAACACCGUUCCAGCAGCCGCGGUAAUACGGAGGAUUCGAGCGUUAUCCGGAUUUAUUGGGUUAAAAGGGUGCGUAGGCGGGCUGUUAAGUCAGCGGUAAAAGCCCGGGGCUCAACCCCGGCGAACCGCUAAAACUGGCUGUCUUGAGAUGUCGAGGGGUAUGCGGAAUGCGCAGUGUAGCGGUGAAAUGCGUAGAUAUUGGGAAGAACUCCGAUUGCGAAGGCAGCAUACCGGAGUCGAUCUGACGCUGAGGCACGAAAGCGUGGGUAGCGAACAGGAUUAGAUACCCGAGUAGUC
rnacentral:rRNA from 1 species